rnacentral:piRNA from 1 species
UAAGCAUGCAUAUUUUUAAAGUGUCCUGUG